GACAGAGGCCCCGAGCGUUAAUCGGAAUUACUGGGCUUAAAGGGUGCGUAGGCGGACCAGAAAGUGCUUUGUGAAAGCCCCCGGCUCAACCGGGGAACAGCGGGGCAUACUGCUGGUCUUGAGGCAGGUAAGGGCCGACGGAACUGAAGGUGGAGCGGUGAAAUGCGUAGAUAUCUGGAGGAACACCGGUGGCGAAGGCGGCAUCCUGGACCAAUAUUGACGCUGAGGAGCGAAAGCCAGGGGAGCAAACGGG
rnacentral:rRNA from 1 species